GUGCAGUCAUCACCCACUUUU
ensembl:piRNA 21ur-4768 ncRNA